rnacentral:rRNA from 1 species
AGUGAACGCUGGCGGUAGGCCUAACACAUGCAAGUCGAACGAGUGGCGGACGGGUGAGUAAUACAUCGGAAUCUACUCUGUCGUGGGGGAUAACUUAGGGAAACUUACGCUAAUACCGCAUACUAUUGAAUGCGCCGAUGUCGGAUUAGCUAGUUGGCGGGGUAAAGGCCCACCAAGGCGACGAUCCGUAGCUGGUCUGAGAGGAUGAUCAGCCACACUGGAACGGAGACACGGUCCAGACUCCUACGGGAGGCAGCAGUGGGGAAUAUUGGACAAUGGGCGCAAGCCUGAUGCAGCCAUACCGCGUGGGUGAAGAAGGCCUUAGGGUUGUAAAGUACUUUUGUUGGGAAAGCGGUACCCAAAGAAUAAGCACCGGCUAACUUCGUGCCAGCAGCCGCGGUAAUUC